GAAGGUGCCACCGCCGCCUUCUCUGCCCGGCUGGCCGCCGGGAGUGAAUGCGCCCCCGCCUCCUGUCUGCUCUUCUGUCCGUCUGCACGUCUGUCAGUCCGACCGUCUGUCGGUCCCACUAGCAGCUCAGCGCGGGACUCUCGCUUUCCUGCACUCUGCUCUCAGAGCUGCCACUCUCGCAGGCUGCCAGUCUGUGCGCUGGUCUGUCCGUCCGUCCGAAUCUCUCCGUCCCACCAGCAAUGCAGCGUCCCUCUUCCGGUCUUCUGUGCCCACAGUCCUCUCCCACUCUGUGCCCCUGGCCGCUCCGCUCGAUCACUUGAUGGUCCUUUCAAGUACCCAGUGGGGGAAAGCACUAUGAGACAACCACACAGCAGGAGGCCAUGGUGCAGACUCCAUGACAAAGACCCAUGAAAGAGUCAUGUGAAAUUAGGUUUCCAACGGCUUGAGGUGAGGUGACAUUUGAUUAUGGCUUUUGGGGAUAAACUACAAUAAUCUGUGGAAUUACAUGUACCCAGAAUUUUACCUGUAUUAACUAAUAGUAUUUUCUGAUUUUCUCUUAAAAUUAAUUAAAGUAGGCCGGGCGCGGUGGCUCACGCCUGUAAUCCCAGCACUUUGGGAGGCCGAGGCGGGCGGAUCACAAGGUCAGGAGAUCGAGACCACGGUGAAACUCCGUCUCUACUAAAAAUACAAAAAAUUAGCCGGGCGAGGUUGUGGGCGCCUGUAGUCCCAGCUACUCGGGAGGCUGAGGCAGGAGAAUGGCGUGAACCCGGGAGGCGGAGCUUGCAGUGAGCCGAGAUCGCGCCACUGCACUCCAGCCUGGGCGACAGAGCGAGACUCUGUCUCAAAAAAAAAAAAAAAAAAAAAAUUAAUUAAAGUAGAAACAACAUCAAAGAACAUUCAAUGAAAAAAAUUCUAGCACUUCUAGAAAAGAUUUCCAGCAAGUUCACCAGAUCCAGUCUUCUGGUAAAGAGCUAUAUAAAAUAACUGGAACUUUUGGUGCCAAAGCUGUUUCUUACGCAAGGAGAAAAAUAGGUACAGACAGUGUCAGAUUUUUUAUCCUAAUUCAUUUUCCAGAUUUGUGUAGUUUCUUACCCCCACUAUAUUUUCCAGUUUAGUGAAUUCUUCAAAGAAUUUUUGUAUUGUGGAAAUGAACAUGCAUGGUGUUUAUUUGUGCUACAAAUAAGUAUUUUCUUUCAAGUAGGAAAAGAGUGGGAACCCAUUUACUUGUUCAAAAGCAAUUCAAUUUCCUUGUUGACUGCCAAACAAGCCAGGGAUGAAAUUGAUCAAUUUCAGAAAAGUAAUGAAAAGAAUUGGCUAGGGAUUCAAAAGCAUCUAUUUUAGGGGAAAAUCAGUAUGUAGAUAUACUUCAGGCUAAUAAAAUUAUGGCCAAACUGAGUAACUACAAUUUUUUGAUAUCAA
rnacentral:lncRNA from 10 species